UACGGAGGGUGCAAGCGUUAUCCGGAUUCACUGGGUUUAAAGGGUGCGUAGGUGGGCAGGUAAGUCAGCGGUGAAAUCUCCGGGCUUAACCCGGAAACUGCCAUUGAUACUAUCUGUCUUGAAUACCGUGGAGGUGAGCGGAAUAUGUCAUGUAGCGGUGAAAUGCUUAGAUAUGACAUAGAACACCAAUUGCGAAGGCAGCUCACUACACGAAUAUUGACACUGAGGCACGAAAGCGUGGGGAUCAAACAGG
rnacentral:rRNA from 1 species